UGUCAUUCCUAACGGAGCCCACAUUUUUGAGUGCCCCCUCCACCUGUGCAACCCAUAUAAUUCAUGAUGGGGUAAACCUGAUUGGUAAUAUUACUCCCCCUUACCAGUGACUGGCUGAGGAAUGGAGUCCUUAAAUUGACCAGUGAGACCUGAAGGGAGGUUUGCUGGGGCUCCUGGAAAGUGUUUUGCCCAGUCUCAGGGCCCAGGAAUGCUUGCAGAAGUGAUCCUCUUAACUCUUUUUCUGGAUCUUGACAUGUUUGCUCCAUAAAAAUCUAUAAAAUAAAUAUCAGGAAGAGGUUGUAGCAAACAGAGAAGACCUACGAUGGGAAAAAUUCUCAGCAGUGAUGCAAUUUUAAAGCUACAGUGCCGGGAGACUGUUUCAUGCUCAGAAAUAAUCUCUCCAUCUUCAAUGAGAGCAGCUUCUGUGACAUGUUUCUGACUAGUAGAAUAUGAUGGAUGUCAUGUCUAUGAUUAAGUUACAUGAGAGUGAGAUAGAGAAACCUAUUCUCUUCCUGAUACACUUUGAUGAAGCAAAUUGCUGUGUUGGAGAAGCCCACCAAGGAAAUGAGAGUGACCUAUGGCCAACAGCACUCCAAGAGCCUUUGAAAAACUGAAGCUCUGCCAACAACAGCUCCUUCCCCAGUCAAGUCUUCAGAUAAGACCUCAGCCCUGGCCAUCCUUACUUGCAGUCUUGUAAGAGACUCAGAAGCAAAGAACCCUGCUAAAUCAUGCCUGGAUCUCUGACUUAGGGAAACUAUAAGAUAAUAAAUGUAUAUUGCUUUAGGCCUCUAAA